GACGAACGCUGGCGGCGUGCUUAACACAUGCAAGUCGAACGGAAAGGCCCUGCUUUUGUGGGGUGCUCGAGUGGCGAACGGGUGAGUAACACGUGAGUAACCUGCCCUUGACUUUGGGAUAACUUCAGGAAACUGGGGCUAAUACCGGAUAGGAGCUCCUGCUGCAUGGUGGGGGUUGGAAAGUUUCGGCGGUUGGGGCUGGACUCGCGGCUUAUCAGCUUGUUGGUGGGGUAGUGGCUUACCAAGGCUUUGACGGGUAGCCGGCCUGAGAGGGUGACCGGCCCCAAUGGGACUGAGAUACGGCCCAGACUCCUACGGGAGGCAGCAGUGGGGAAUAUUGCACAAUGGGCGGAAGCCUGAUGCAGCAACGCCGCGUGCGGGAUGACGGCCUUCGGGUUGUAAACCGCUUUCGCCUGUGACGAAGCGUGAGUGACGGUAAUGGGUAAAGAAGCACCGGCUAACUACGUG
rnacentral:rRNA from 1 species